rnacentral:rRNA from 1 species
UACGAAGGGGGCGAGCGUUGUUCGGAAUUACUGGGCGUAAAGGGCGCGUAGGCGGCCGAUCAAGUCAGAUGUGAAAGUCCUGGGCUUAACCUGGGGACUGCAUUUGAUACUGAUUGGCUUGAAUGCAGGAGAGGAUAGCGGAAUUCCCAGUGUAGAGGUGAAAUUCGUAGAUAUUGGGAAGAACACCGGUGGCGAAGGUGGCUCUCUGGACCGAGACUGACGCUGAGGCGCGAAAGCGUGGGGAGCAAACAGG